GGAAUAUUGGUCAAUGGACGCAAGUCUGAACCAGCCAUGCCGCGUGAAGGAUGAAGGCGUUCUGCGUUGUAAACUUCUUUUAUCUGGGAAGAAACCACAGAUUUCUAUUUGUGUUGACGGUACCAGAGGAAUAAGCACCGGCUAACUCCGUGCCAGCAGCCGCGGUACUACGGAGGGUGCAAGCGUUAUCCGGAUUUACUGGGUUUAAAGGGUGUGUAGGCGGGCCUUUAAGUCUGGGGUGAAAUCUCCGAGCUCAACUCGGAAACUGCCCUGGAUACUAUUGGCCUUGAAUUAUGUUGAGGUUGGCGGAAUAUAACAUGUAGCGGUGAAAUGCAUAGAUAUGUUAUAGAACACCGAUUGCGAAGGCAGCUAACUAAGCAUAUAUUGACGCUGAGGCACGAAAGCGUGGGGAUCAAA
rnacentral:rRNA from 1 species